rnacentral:rRNA from 1 species
ACCUUAGAGACUGGGAUAACAGUUAGAAAUGAUUGCUAAUACCGGAUGAUUCAUAGUUAGAUAACUAAUUAUGCUAAAAGGAGCAUUUGCUUCACUUUAAGAUGGGCUUGCGUUGUAUUAGUUAGUUGGUGGGGUAAUGGCCUACCAAGACAACGAUGCAUAUCCGAGCUGAGAGGCUGAUCGGACACACUGGGACUGAGACACGGCCCAGACUCCUACGGGAGACAGCAGUUAGGAAUAUUCGUCAAUGGGGGAAACCCUGAACGAGCAAUGCCGCGUGAGUGAUUAAGGUCUUAUAGAUUGUAAAACUCUGUUGUAAAGAAAGAAACCUUAAGAUAGGAAAUGAUCUUAAGCUGACGGUACUUUACCAGAAAGCCCCGGCUAACUACGUGCCAGCAGCCGC